GCUGCGGUGUCGGAGUGGUUAAGGAGUUGGACUUGAAAUCUAAUGGGCUAUGUCCGAGCAGAUUCGAAUCCUCUCCGCAGCG